AUCAGUCAGAAGAUGCACUGACUGAGCUGGGCUGUUUUGUACAGCUGUGCCUAAAGCUCCUUGGAGCUGGAGUUGCUACAGAGAAGUGCAACACAGGGCACUGAACUUCACAAGUUUCUGAAGGAUCUGGAAGAAAUUACAGGAGUGACAGUUGUGAGAGGGACGUACUCCAGAUUGGCGGGGCUGGUUUGUGCUUUGUUACCACAUUGCCUCCUCCUAGCAGAAUGGAUGUGCUGGUGGCAUUCCCGGAUUUCUCGAGCUCUCAUGCUAACUCUGAGUCAGCUUUGACCUGGCUGGGUGCCCACCUGCAUAAUUCCAGAUGUGACCAUGGAGAGUGCACAGGGCAAACAACCCUAGGGAAGAAGGUCUUGCUGGCUUGAUGUCUAAAAACAAAAUAAAAAUCAAGUAAA